CGCAAAACAGACAGGAAGAUGGACAGAACUAACUCAUGACAUCAACACUCCCAUUUUGAGAAUGAAUAACUGACUGUAUGAAAGUUAGAACUGACUUCAUGUGUGUGUAUGCAAUUUCAACUGGUUUUGGCGUGUGAUAGAAACCAAUAUUUGAUAAUGAUGAGUAUGUGAACAUGUAGUUUUUGAAUGUCUUCUGUGAUAGAUAUAAUAUAUCCAGCUUUAUGUUACAAGAGUUCUAUCAUUCAACAAUGAUCUGCUUUACAGAAUCCUGACAUCCUGACUUUAUAUGCCUUCGAUUUAAGUAAGGCUUUGUAAAUCAUGUUUGAUUUGACAUUCAUAUUUGUUAAAUUUUGAUUCAUGCCUAUCAUUGUAAAUAAUCAUUGGACAAUUCUUCUCCUUGAAAAAAAAAAACCAAGACGUACAAAUGUUUUGAAAUAUACGGUAUGUUUAGAAUUUUGUGCAAUAACUUGUUAUUAUGGUACUAUUGUCAGUACAUAUACCGUAUAUCCAAGGGUUUUUUCUCAUGUCAGAAAAUUUGCAAAAUUAGGGAAAAUGUGUAACUUUCUUUUUAUUUGUUUCGAUAAUAUUUUGUGUCAGUAAAGUUUCUUUAAGCAAACAAUACCAGAUAUAAUUUCUACAUAUUGAAUAGUUUGCAAUGUAAAAGUGAUCAUGAAAAUUACAUCAUCAUGAAAAUUAAAUAAUAAUUAGGUUAUUUUGAAAAUGAGUUUACAAAUUUUGUGACAGACUUGUUUAAUUCAUAAAAUGAUUUUAUUUC
rnacentral:misc_RNA from 1 species